UACAGAGGGGGCAAGCGUUGUCCGGAUUGACUGGGCGUAAAGCGCACGUAGGUGGCUUGGCAAGUGGGGUGUGAAACCCGUCGGCUUAACCGAUGGACGCCAUCCCAAACUGCUAGGCUUGAGCCGUGCAGAGGUCCGUGGAAUUGCCGGUGUAGUGGUGAAAUGCGUAGAGAUCGGCAGGAACACCAAGGGGGAAGCCAGCGGACUGGGCACGUGCUGACACUGAGGUGCGACAGCGUGGGGAGCGAACCGG
rnacentral:rRNA from 1 species